UGGGGAAUAUUGCACAAUGGGCGAAAGCCUGAUGCAGCGACGCCGCGUGAGGGAUGAAGGCCUUCGGGUUGUAAAGCUCUUUUGGCGGGGACGAUGAUGACGGUACCCGCAGAAUAAGCCCCGGCUAACUUCGUGCCAGCAGCCGCGGUAAGACGAAGGGGGCUAGCGUUGUUCGGAAUUACUGGGCGUAAAGCGAGUGUAGGCGGUUGUCCAAGUUGGAUGUGAAAGCCUUGAGCUCAACUCAAGAAAUGCAUUCAGGACUGGAUGACUAGAGGACCGGAGAGGAUAGUGGAAUUCCCAGUGUAGUGGUGAAAUACGUAGAGAUUGGGAAGAACACCAGUGGCGAAGGCGGCUAUCUGGACGGUUACUGACGCUAAGACUCGAAAGCGUGGGGAGCAAAC
rnacentral:rRNA from 1 species